rnacentral:miRNA from 1 species
UUCCUGACUUAUACGCUUACCU